UAGGUGAACCUGCGGAAGGAUCAUUACAGAGUUCAUGCCCUUACGGGUAGAUCUCCCACCCUUGAAUAUAUUACCUUUGUUGCUUUGGCAGGCCGCGUUUACGCCAGAGGCUUCGGCUUUUGAGUGCCUGCCAGAGGACCACAACUCUGUUUUUAGUGACGUCUGAGUACUAUGUAAUAGUUAAAACUUUCAACAACGGAUCUCUUGGUUCUGGCAUCGAUGAAGAACGCAGCGAAAUGCGAUAAGUAAUGUGAAUUGCAGAAUUCAGUGAAUCAUCGAAUCUUUGAACGCACAUUGCGCCCUUUGGUAUUCCGAAGGGCAUGCCUGUUCGAGCGUCAUUAUAACCACUCAAGCCUGGCUUGGUAUUGGAGUUCGCUAUCGGCGGCCCCUAAAAUCAGUGGCGGUGCCUGUAGGCUCUACGCGUAGUAAUACUUCUCGCUAUAGGGUCCUGCGGGUGACUUGCCAACAACCCCUAAUUUCUUAAGGUUGACCUCGGAUCAGGUAGGGAUACCCGCUGAACUUAAGCAUAUCAAUAAGCGGAGGAA
rnacentral:rRNA from 1 species